UCUUGGCUGAGGACCCAUCAAAAAUACCUUGUGUAAUGAAAACCCCGGAUAUAUAAUCUCUCCCUAUAUAUUCUGCAUGCAUUGAGGUGGCCUCAAGCCCUCGUCAGAGACCUGAUCCAGACUUGGAGCCUGUUGCACACGACUGCUACUUAAAGGGAAAAAAGGAGCAAAUGAUACCAAGACAAGCCCGUAACAGAGAUUUAAUCACCAGAUGUGUUCGGAUGAAAAUACAGUGAGAUGAGUCAGAAAACGGUGAAGGAGGGCCCCAGACUCUCCAAGAACCAGAAGUUUUCGGAGCACUUUAGCAUACACUGCUGCCCGCCGUUCACCUUCCUCAACUCCAAACGAGAGAUCGUGGACCGCAAGUACAGCAUCUGUAGGAGCGGCUGCUUCUACCAGAAGAAGGAAGAGGACUGGAUCUGCUGUGCCUGCCAGAAGACCAGCAGAAGAGAGCCAUGGCUGCAGCCUCCAGCUUCUUUUGGCCCCCUCAGCACCAGCCGCCGGGCAAGAUCCCCUCAGAGGCCCAAGCCACAGCCAGCGGCACCCCCCGCGGUGGUCAGAGCACCUGCCAAGCCACGGUCCCCUCCGAGGUCCGAGCGUCCACCACGCCCCCGCCCAGAGGUCCGGCCACCGCCAGCCAAGCAGCGCCCCCCUCAGAAGGCCAAGCAGCCGCCGCGCAGCAGCCCCCAAAGAGGGCCAGGCCCCAGCCGCGGGGGGUCCCCCGCCAAAGCUUCUAGGUUCUGAUUGAAAAGGAGGAGCAAGCCGACCCCACGGAAGAAGUGAGGGCGCAGUUUCAAGCGAAUGGACCACCUCAGCACCUGGACUCGCUGCUUCUUGACCCACGUGCCCCUGGGCAAGUUUUCUGGCUUCUGAUAUGAUGCAGGGGCAGACACCUGCUUGUGCGGCAACUGCUGAUGCCCGCAGUCCCCCGAGUGUGGGGGCCGCCGGGCAGCCUGCCUGGAGGGCACUCUUGGUCCUCCAGGGUAGGAGGCAAUUUGACCAUGAAGGAAAGCAGAAGACAGAGCAGCAGCUGGGGUGCUCCACAGCUCAGGGGAUGCUGGAGCAUGGUGAAGGCUGCUGGAAGGAGACAGCAGACCCCGUGAAGACAUCAUCCUGCCGUCCUCUGACUCCAGGGGGACACAUGUUGUCAGCCUCCCUGUCCGUCCACUGACUCAAGUUUCUUCAAUUUGAGGAUAUAUAUCUUCUUUUAGUGAUACACACACAAAAAGAGAGAGAGAGAGAGAGAGAGAGAGGGAUUGCUGUAUAACCAUCCUAAUGACAAAAAAUUAAAAAUGAUCAAGUGUUGGCAAAGAUUUGGGGACAAUUCUGAUAAGCCAUUGACGAAAAUUUAUGAGCUAUUGUGGUGCUUCUGGGAUGCAGUCUGGGAAUGCGAGCAAAACAGCACAUUGUAUAACUCAUGAUCAAGCAAUUAUUUUUAAAAACCAAUUACAAUUUUAGGUACCGA